AGGGACACUCAGUUACAUUGCGCAACAAGCAACAAUGGCUGUCAGGUUGACCAGAGAGACCCAUGAAUUUAAGU